UGUGGCUCAGUGGCAGAGCACUUGCCUUGUAUGCAUGAAGCACUGGGUUUGAUUCUCAGCA
rnacentral:tRNA from 1 species